CGGGUUCGAUCCCCGGCAACGGCGCC
rnacentral:siRNA from 1 species